AGUGAACGCUGGCGGUAGGCCUAACACAUGCAAGUCGAACGGCAGCACAGUAAGAGCUUGCUCUUACGGGUGGCGAGUGGCGGACGGGUGAGGAAUACAUCGGAAUCUACUUUUUCGGGGGGGAUAACGGAGGGAAACUUACGCUAAUAGCGCAUACGACCUACGGGUGAAAGCAGGAGAUCUUCACACCUUUCGCGAUUGAAUGAGCCGAUGCCGGAUUAGCUAGUUGGCGAGGUAAAGGCCCACCAAGGCAACGAUGCGUAGCUGGGCUGAGAGGAUGAUCAGCCACACUGGAACUGAGACACGGUCCAGACUCCUACGGGAGGCAGCAGUGGGGAAUAUUGGACAAUGGGCGCAAGCCUGACCCAGCCAUACCGCGUGAGUGAAGAAGGCCUUCGGGUUGUAAAGCCCUGUUGUUGGGAAAGAAAAGCAGCAGGUGAAUACCCCGCUGUUCUGACGGUACCCAAAGAAUAAGCACCGGCUAACUUCGUG
rnacentral:rRNA from 1 species